GACGAACGCUGGCGGCGUGCCUAAUACAUGCAAGUAGAACGCUGAAGGAGGAGCUUGCUUCUCUGGACGAGUUGCGAACGGGUGAGUAACGCGUAGGUAACCUACCUGGUAGCGGGGGAUAACUAUUGGAAACGAUAGCUAAUACCGCAUAAGAGUAGAUGUCGCAUGACAUUUGCUUAAAAGGUGCAAUUGCAUCACUACCAGAUGGACCUGCGUUGUAUUAGCUAGUUGGUGAGGUAACGGCUCACCAAGGCAACGAUACAUAGCCGACCUGAGAGGGUGAUCGGCCACACUGGGACUGAGACACGGCCCAGACUCCUACGGGAGGCAGCAGUAGGGAAUCUUCGGCAAUGGACGGAAGUCUGACCGAGCAACGCCGCGUGAGUGAAGAAGGUUUUCGGAUCGUAAAGCUCUGUUGUAAGAGAAGAACGAGUGUGAGAGUGGAAAGUUCACACUGUGACGGUAUCUUACCAGAAAGGGACGGCUAACUACGUG
rnacentral:rRNA from 1 species